UGAUCUCGGAUCAGGUAGGAAUACCCGCUGAACUUAAGCAUAUCAA
rnacentral:rRNA from 1 species